AUUGGACUCGAAACGUUAGCUGUGCUUUUCUCUCCACAUAUGCUGCCAGACCUGCUGAAUGCUUCGAGCACUUCGUGGUUUUGUUCACUUUAGAUCUCCAGUAUCCGCAGUUGUUUGUUUUAUUUUAGGUAGUAGCUGUGGCCUGCCGACUGUGGAACAUUUCAAGUUCUUACUUUGCGUCCCGUUCCCUUAAUACACGACGAUGCGUUGGUUUCUGCUGCUGUUGUGUUUUCCCAGCAUCCAGUUUGCUUUACCCGGAUAUUGCAGUAUACAGCAACGGCUUCGUUUCCAGCUGCCGAGCAACAUAAGCCGAGACGCAGCUGCUGCUGCUCAUUCAGAGCACCUCUUCGAGCAGUUUGUUUGGAAAUAUAAUUGCAGCUACGCGGCAGGAAGCUCCGAAUUCGAUCACAAAUACAAGGUUUUUCUGGAAAGCAUACAAAGACACUACUCUCUGAAUCUUAUUUCUUCAAUCUUGUUGAAUGAAAGUGGCUCCGCUAUUUAUGGAAUCAACCAGUUCUCCGAUAUGCCACCUCAAGUAUUUAGAGCAACAUAUUUGAGUUCAAGAUCAGUGCAACUUCCGAAAUAUACAUCAGUUCUUAAGGAUACCAAGACGCGAGCAUUACCACCAAAAUUUGACUGGAGAGACAAGAAUGUUGUCACAUCUGUGCGAAAUCAAAGAUCUUGCGGUGGUUGCUGGGCAUUCAGUGUUGUGGAGAGUAUUGAAUCUUCAAGUGCAAUCAAAGAAGGUCACCUGGAGUUGCUCAGUGCACAAGAGGUUAUAGAUUGUUCUUUUAGGGAUGCAGGUUGCAAAGGUGGCUCACCCAUCAGUGCCCUGAUGUGGCUAAAUCAGAGCAAAGCAAAACUGGUGAAAGAGUCAGAGUAUCCUUUCAAUGCACAAACUGGAAUAUGCCAUUACUUUUCAAGGUCUACAUUUGGCGUUGCUAUCACAGGUUUUAAAGCAUAUAGCUUCAGAUAUAAUGAAGAUGUUAUGAUGGAGAAACUGUUGGAAUGGGGUCCGUUGGUGGUGGUUGUGGAUGCAGUAAGUUGGCAGGACUAUCUUGGUGGCAUUAUUCAGCAUCACUGCUCUCAAGGCAAGUCAAACCAUGCAGUAGUGAUCACUGGUUAUGACACGACAGGUGAUAUUCCUUACUGGAUUGUACGGAAUUCAUGGGGAACCAAAUGGGGAAUUGAUGGCUAUGUAUACAUCAAAAUGGGAAGAAAUAUUUGUGAUUUACACAACUACAGUAUUUUGCUUUUGACCUGUUAAUAAAUCACUUGAACAGGGCACUACUAUAGUUUUUCAGUUGAAAGGAGAAAGAAGAACAAAGGUAUUGCUGAUUCCGUUGCUGUAGCAUUUGUAUGAGAAGAAAUAGAUGUUCCCUGGAUCUUGGUCUGCCUACAGGACAGCCUUUUACCAAGAACUGAAUUUAAGAUGAAGAUAGCCCAAUUCCUCCACAUCCGCUGCGGAUCCCCCAUUGUGUAACCUAUGCCAGAAUCCAAAUGAUGUUCCUUCAUUUAAAUUAAUGGAAGAAAUUUUGGUGAAUCACAUCAGAGAAUCAGCUCUUACCUGAUUUCUUAAUAACUGCAGUGGACAAGUUAGUACAGACUAUGUUUCAUUUUAAAUCUUCUGGACCCUCUGCUGACAGUGUUGAAUGUUCUAUGUUCUAUAUCUCAAGCUGACAUAAAAAAGGUUGUCAGUGCUAUUCCACCAUUUUCUGAAAUGCGCUGACACUGGCAAACAACCUCACCACAGAGCAGUCUUAAAACGUUUAAACCAAAAUGCCUUAGUAUUAAGUUAGCUAUUAGCAACUCUUGUCAGUAUUCACAAUAUUUAUUUCAGAGAAUCCUAAAGUUGCUUAAUUUGUUUUACACCGAAAUUAGGAGCUCUAAUUCAUUUGAUUGCAUUCCCAAAGUUUAUGAUAAUUUUUAAUAUUUUAAUUAAUAUUUUAUUGGAGCAAGGAGUAUAUAUAUAUAUUUACACUAAUGUAGUCUUUUUAAAUUUUAAAACUGUUUUCAGAUGUCAAUAUUUCCAUGGAAUUUUCAAAUGAGCAGCUUAUGAGUACAAUUGAUGACCUUCCCAUUUUGUUGAAUGCAGUACAAAAGCGAUAAAAUGACAACCUUGCCCGGCAACAUAGUUCAAUGUACUAAAAGUGAUGGUAAUUAACCAAAUAAUUGUUUCCAGUCUUCAAACCUUACAAACCAGGAUACCACAAUACAAUCAAUGUUUUUUUGAGUUCAUUACCUUAUGCACGUACUUUUUAAUUUGUGUACACUGCUCAUGAAAUUGGUCAAAAUUAAAUUUUACUUUGAUCACCUGAAUGAUAGAAAAUAUAUAGUUAUCUUUUUAAAGAUGACCAAAUUGACUUCUGGGUCUAUUUUUAUGAUUCGUUUUGAUAAGGAUGCGAGUACUUCUGCUUAUUUAACUGCAUUUUUUUGUAAUCGUGUUACAAAUAGAGUCACAGUUAUACAGCUCGGAAACAGACCUUUCAGUCCAACUCAUUCGCGCCGAGUGGAUACCCUAAACUGAUCUAGUCCCAUUUGACCACCUUUAGCUCAUACCCCUCUAAACUCUUCCUAUUCAUGUACCCAUCAAGAUGCCUUUUAAAAUUGGUAAUUGUAUCUGCCUCUAUUAUCUCCUCUGGCAGCUUGUUCCAUACACUCACCUGAAUCAUAAAAAUCGUGCAGAGAAAGGCCCUUUGACCCACUGUGUACAUGCCAGUCAAAAACACCACCCAACUAUUCUAAUCCCAUUUUCCAGCUCUUGGUUUGGAGCCUUGUAUGCAUUUAUUCCACAGAAAUGCAAAACAAAAAAUGGCGAGAACAUUCCUUAAGUGCUAUGAUAACUAAAUGAAUUUCUAUUUUCUUCCCUACCUACAGUCAUCUUGUCAUUUUCCUUUUUUCCAUUCCAGUUAGUACUGCUUCCCAGGACUGCCAUGCACAAGGUGGGAGAAGGCCUGAGGUGGCAGGGUCAAAGGCUCCAGGGCCUUGAGAUGAAGAAAUAGGGCCUAAUAAUGGCACUCUGAAUCCCUGUUACUUAAAACCUGUAAGCUCUGUUGAUCAUAUUGGUCUGUUCAGUGCUUAACCAUCUCUCUGGUGCUGCAGUAACAAACCCAAAACCAAGUACUGACAAGCUUCCUAAAUAUGAGUAAUUAGGAAAAAGGUCAUGGUUAAUACAAUGGAUAAAGGUUGGGGCUGAACAUCAAAGAAGAAAGUAUCACUUCUGAGUAGUGAAGACAACUGUACUAAAUUCCUUUAAAUUUGCUGAAGUAGUUUUGGUUUUGCCAAAGCCUUCUCUACAAGUCUUUUAGAAUUAUCAUAUAGCUUCUGGUUUAUUGAAACUGUAGCAAUGACAAAUGCAUUCCCACCUAUAGAGCGUUGAAUGUCAGUGGGACAGUCAGCAAUGAGCAUUGCUAUUCUUCUCUUAGGAGGAAGACCUGCCUUGGCUACUGGCUCUAUAAUCACACCAAAACAUGAAGUGUGCUAUACUGGGACUGCAAAUGGUGCCCACCGUGUAUGUCUCCACAGCCCAAGAGUCGGUAGGUGUGAGGUUCUUCAGACAAGGAGGGGGAAGCGAGGCAGAGAUAUGGAAAUGUUAGUAGAGAGGCUGGGUGAAAUAGAAUACCCACAGCAGUUAGACAUUGGGAGAGGGUGGUGAUAUCAAUGUUGGAAAGAGGUUGUAAUGGAGUUUUUCAACUCUUUCUCCUCACAGUCUGAACAAGGUCACUAUCGAUGUCUCCCUUCUACCCAAUUCUGAAUCUUUCCUUGCAGACUGAAAUUUGCGGCUGAGUGGGAAAUGCCAAGUUGUCAUUGAUUUGCCACUUAAGGGCCUCAAUUAGGUCAGGAGUCCAGUGUUAAGACUAUCUAGCAAAAGGGUAUAUAAUUCUGCCCAAUGGAUUAAAGGAAUGUGAUACCGGUAAGACUGCGAUUUGUUUAGCACAGAUUAGUGACAAAACUUGUUCAAAAGUUUUUUUUUGACAACAGAAACACUCUUUGCUGUGAUGAUUGUAAAAAUAUAAACUAUCAAAACAAAGUACAAUAAUAUUUCAAACUAAAAACAGAAAAUGCUGGAGAAAUUCAGCAAGUUUGGUGGCAUCUGUAGGGAGGGAAGCAAACUUGAGGUUGGCUGUAAAAGGGCGGCAUGGUGGCUCAGUGGUUAGCACUCUGCCUCACAGAUCCAGGGAUGCGGGUUCAAUUCCACCCUCAGGUGCCUGUCUGUGUCGAGUUUGCACCUUCUCCCCAUGUCUGCAUGGGUUUCCUCUGGAUGCUCUAGUUUUCACCCACAAUUCAAAGAUGUGCAAGUAAGGUGAAUUGGCCAUGCUACAUUGUUUGUUCUUUGUAAUUCUGGACAAAGAAACCUACAACACAGGAACAGGCCCUUCGGCCCUCCAAGCCUGUGCCGAUCAAGAUCCUCUGUCUAACCUGUCAGCUAUUUUCUAACGGUCUGUGUCCAUUUGCUCCCUGCCCAUCCAUGUACCUGUCCAAAUGUAUCUUAAAAGACGCCAACGUGUCUGCGUCUACAACCUCCGCUGGCAACGCAUUCCAGGCACCCACCACCCUCUGUGUAAAGAACUUUCCACGCAUAUCUCCCUUAAACUUUCCUCCUCUCAUGACCCGUAGUAAUUGAGUCCCCCACUCUGGAUUCAAGGAUGUGUAGAUUAGGGAGAGUGGGUGUGGGUGGGAUGCUCUCAGUGUCAGUCUGGACUUGUUGGGCCGAAGGGCUGUUUCCACACUGUAGGGAUUCUCUGAUUUUGAAUGUGAAAUAUUAAGUAUUUCAAUAUUGAGUAUUCAAUCUAGAGGCUAUAAAAUGCCUAAUUAGAAGCAAAAUUGAUUAACUUUUCCAAUUCCACAUGAUACCAGAAAACAGCACUGAUGUAUUGAAGAAAGUGUUGUGCAGGGACCCCAAGUAGGACUGGAAUAAGCAAUGUUCUAAAUAUCACAAAAGAGAGGGACCUGGCUACAACCAAGCAAGUACCCCUGGCCAUGUCUUUGACAUGGAGAAAAUGAGAUGAAAUAAAGGAAAAGUCGUUCAAAGUGAGAACAAAGUCUACUGAGUGAUGGAAGGCGGUGACGAAUGGGGAGUGUUCAGACCUCUUGUCAACAAAGAGGUGAAGAGCCUUAAGGCCAUCCUGACGUGGGAUGUGCAGAAGGGUUGCACAUUCCUGAUGGAGAGGACGCUGCUCGGGCCAGAAAACUGGAAAUUGUGAAACCAGCAUCUAGCAUCAUAAGAAUUACAAAUUAAUGUGGAAUAAACUCAAUAAGCAGGCAAGAGCAGACUGAAACAGUAAGCCUGCCAGUCUGAGAGUCAUAUAGGAUAGAAACGAGCCCUUCAGCCCACCACGUCUAUGCAAACCAAAGACAAUGACACGACACUAAUCCAAUUUACUUGCUAUUGAUACAUAGCCUACUGUGCCCUGCCCUGCCAUUUUAAGUGUUCGUCCAAAUGCUUCUUACAAGUUGCCAUCAGGCAGCAACUUGCAUAUCUCUACCACUAUCUACGUAAAUUAUUUUUUCCCCUCAGAUAUCCUCUGAAUCACUCAGACCCUUCAGUCCAACUCAUCUAAUGCCAACCAGAUAUCCUAAACUAAUCCAGGCCCAUUUACUAGCAUUUGGCCCACAUCCGUCUAAACCCUUCUGAUUCAUACAUCCAUCCAGAUGCCUUUUAAAUGUUCUAAUUGUACCAGCCUCCACCACUUCCUGUGGCAGCUUAUUCCAUGCAUGCACCACCCUCUGUAUUAAACAACAAGCUGCCCCUUAGGUCCCUUUUAAAUCUUUCCCUUCUUUCCUUGAACCUAUGCCCUCUAGUUUUGGACUCCUCUGCCCCAGGGAAAGGAUCUUGUCUAUUUAUCCUAUCCAUGCCCCUCAUGAUUUUAUAAAUCCCUACCAGGUCACCCCUCAGAUUCAAUGCUUCCCAGAAAAAAUCCCCAGCCUAUUCAGCCUCUCCCUACAGCUUGAACCCUGACAACAUUCUUGCAAAUCCUUUGUGAACCCUUUCAGGUUUCACAACAUCCUCCCUCUACCGGGGAGACCAGAAUUGCACCCAGUAUUCCAAAAGUGGCCUAAUCAAUGUCCUGUUCAGCCAUAACAUGACUGCUCAACUCUUAGAACAUAGAACAUAGAACAGUACAGCACAGAACAGGCCCUUCAGCCCACAAUGUUGUGCCGACCAUUGAUCCUCAUGGAUGCACCCUCAAAUUUCUGUGACCAUAUGCAUGUCCAGCAGUCUCUUAAAUGACCCCAAUGACCUUGCUUCCACAACUGCUGCUGGCAACGCAUUCCAUGCUCUCACAACUCUCUGCGUAAAGAACCUGCCUCUGACAUCCCCUCGAUACUUUCCACCAACCAGCUUAAAACUAUGACCCCUCGUGCUAGCCAUUUCUGCCCUGGGAAAUAGUCUCUGGCUAUCGACUCUAUCUAUGCCUCUCAUUAUCUUGUAUAC